rnacentral:rRNA from 1 species
AACGAACGCUGGCGGCAGGCCUAACACAUGCAAGUCGAACGCUGUAGCAAUACAGAGUGGCAGACGGGUGAGUAACACGUGGGAACAUACCCUUAGGUUCGGAAUAGCUCAGGGAAACUUGAGGUAGUACCGGAUAAGCCCUUACGGGGAAAGAUUUAUCGCCAUUGGAUUGGCCCGCGUCUGAUUAGCUAGUUGGUGGGGUAAUGGCUCACCAAGGCGACGAUCAGUAGCUGGCUGAGAGGAUGACCAGCCACACUGGGACUGAGACACGGCCCAGACUCCUACGGGAGGCAGCAGUGGGGAAUAUUGGACAAUGGGCGAAAGCCUGAUCCAGCCAUGCCGCGUGAGUGAAGAAGGCCUUAGGGUUGUAAAGCUCUUUCAGCGGGGAAGAUAAUGACGGUACCCGCAGAAGAACGCCCCGGCUAACUCCGUGCCAGCAGCCGCCGCUGUAAU